AGUGAACGCUGGCGGUAGGCCUAACACAUGCAAGUCGAACGGCAGCACAGUAAGAGCUUGCUCUUACGGGUGGCGAGUGGCGGACGGGUGAGGAAUACAUCGGAAUCUACUUUUUCGUGGGGGAUAACGUAGGGAAACUUACGCUAAUACCGCAUACGACCUACGGGUGAAAGCAGGGGAUCUUCGGACCUUGCGCGAUUGAAUGAGCCGAUGUCGGAUUAGCUAGUUGGCGGGGUAAAGGCCCACCAAGGCGACGAUCCGUAGCUGGUCUGAGAGGAUGCUCAGCCACACUGGGACUGAGAAACGGUCCAGACUCCUACGGGAGGCAGCAGUGGGGAAUAUUGGACAAUGGGCGCAAGCCUGAUCCAGCCAUACCGCGUGGGUGAAGAAGGCCUUCGGGUUGUAAAGCCCUUUUGUUGGGAAAGAAAAGCAGCAGGUUAAUACCCCGCUGUUCUGACGGUACCCAAAGAAUAAGCACCGGCUAACUUCGUG
rnacentral:rRNA from 1 species